rnacentral:rRNA from 1 species
CCUACGGGAGGCAGCAGUGGGGAAUAUUGGACAAUGGGCGAAAGCCUGAUCCAGCCAUGCCGCGUGAGUGAUGAAGGCCUUAGGGUUGUAAAGCUCUUUUACCCGGGAAGAUAAUGACUGUACCGGGAGAAUAAGCUCCGGCUAACUUCGUGCCAGCAGCCGCGGUAAU